CCUACGGGCGGCAGCAGUGGGGAAUAUUGGACAAUGGGGGGAACCCUGAUCCAGCCAUGCCGCGUGUGUGAAGAAGGCCCUCGGGUUGUAAAGCACUUUCAGUGAGGAAGAACGCCUGGUGGUUAAUACCCAUCAGGAAAGACAUCACUCACAGAAGAAGCACCGGCUAACUCCGUGCCAGCAGCCGCGGUAAUACGGAGGGUGCGAGCGGUAAUCGGAAUUACUGGGCGUAAAGCGCGCGUAGGUGGCUUGAUAAGCCGGUUGUGAAAGCCCCGGGCUCAACCUGGGAACGGCAUCCGGAACUGUCAAGCUAGAGUGCAGGAGAGGAAGGUAGAAUUCCCGGUGUAGCGGUGAAAUGCGUAGAGAUCGGGAGGAAUACCAGUGGCGAAGGCGGCCUUCUGGACUGACACUGACACUGAGGUGCGAAAGCGUGGGUAGCAAACAGGAUUAGAUACCCUGGUAGUC
rnacentral:rRNA from 1 species